rnacentral:sRNA from 3 species
CACCAUCCUCGUUAGGUGAGGCGUGUGUACAAACACAGGCCACUGCCCGGAAACGUCGAAAGACGCCAAUGGGUAGACCAGGGAUUGCCGGAUUAAGGCUUUCCCUAAGGUGGCUGAGCAUCCGGGCUCUACGUUGUACACUGCCGAAGCUCAACCAGGGGGAAGGUG